rnacentral:tRNA from 1 species
GGAGGGUUGGCCGAGCGGUUUAAGGCGCUGGUUUCGAAAACCAGUGGGCGUAAGCCCUCACAGGUUCGAAUCCUGUACCCUCCG